GACGAAGGGGGCUAGCGUUGUUCGGAAUUACUGGGCGUAAAGCGAGUGUAGGUGGUUGUCCAAGUUGGAUGUGAAAGCCUUGAGCUCAACUCAAGAAAAUGCAUUCAGGACUGGGCGGCUAGAGGACCGGAGAGGAUAGUGGAAUUCCCAGUGUAGUGGUGAAAUUCGUAGAUAUUCGCAAGAACACCAGUGGCGAAGGCGGCUCACUGGCCCGAUACUGACGCUGAGGUGCGAAAGCGUGGGGAGCAAACGGG
rnacentral:rRNA from 1 species